rnacentral:lncRNA from 1 species
GAUUUUCCCGAUUUUCACGGUGAGAAAUAAGAAAUGAUGAGGGGAAGAGGGCAGCCCGCAGAGCAGACUCAAGGAGGGAAAGCGCAUCUGUCGCCGAUGCUGGUCAAGGAGUCUGGAAACCAUGAAGUAAUGCAUGCAAGGCGAGUGGACAGCGAGAACAGGAAGGGGGCUGGACACAGAGUUUCAAUUCCCAUCAGAGAGUUUCACUUGAUCCCUGCAUCCAGCGAUUCCUCACAUCCACACCUACCCUACGUCACUCAAUGAAGACACGAUGGUCAAGUUAAAAAGUCCCAUGCCAUAAAAGCAGACAUGUAGAGGGUGCAUGGGGGCAGGAAAGAUGGUGGAAUGAGAUGGACAUCAUUACCCUUGGUCCAUGUAUGACUGCACAUAAGGUGUGACCUACAUGGUGUACAACCAUAGAAAUGUAAAGUUGUGCUGCAAUGAAUCAAAAUGCAUUCUGCUGUCAUAUCUACCUAAUUAAAAUAAAUUAAUUAUUUUU